CGGAUUAAUUCGAUGACAACGCGAAGAACCUUACCAAGGCUUGACAUACACCGGUAACGCCCAGAGAUGGGUGCCCCUUUGUGGUCGGUGGACAGGUGGUGCAUGGUUGUCGUCAGCUCGUGUCGUGAGAUGUUGGGUUAAGUCCCGCAACGAGCGCAACCCCUACGUUUAGUUGCUAACAGGUGAAGCUGAGCACUCUAGACGAACUGCCGUUGACAAAACGGAGGAAGUGGGAUGACGUCAAAUCAUCAUGCCCCUUAUGUUCUGGGCUACACACGUGCUACAAUGGCCGGUACAGACGGAGGCGAAGCCGCGAGGCGGAGCAAAUCCGAAAAAGCCGGUCUCAGUUCGGAUUGCAGGCUGCAAUUCGCCUGCAUGAAGUCGGAAUCGCUAGUAAUCGCAGGUCAGCAUACUGCGGUGAAUACGGUUCCCGGGCCUU
rnacentral:rRNA from 1 species